UAUUUACACUUUAAUUUUACAGAGCUCUACUGAUUUCCAGUAUUGACCACGAAAACUACACUUUUCAGUGCUGUCGAAGAAUGUUUGCAUACAAAGACGACGACUUCAUUUGAUAUUGAAAGAAGCGAAUACACGUAGUGACCGUGAAAAUGUCAAAAAUCCUGAAGAAGUUGAGUUACCUGGACUUUCCGGAGAACUCCAGACAGGCUUUGCAGUAUGUGGCUUCCUGCUAUUCGGAUGGCUCUACACAUCAUGGUCUGUCUAUUCCUGGUCUGGAAUCGGCCUCGGAGAACUGGGCAUACGAAGUCUGUCAUGAAUACGUCUACUUCAACCCGUCCUCCAGACGCGGUGCACAGAAGCUGAAUGCUGUUCAAGAACUUCAGCUCCUCGAGAUGUUGAGCAGUUGUUUGAGUGAGGCCAGUGAGGGGUCGCGAUACAGUAUAUUUAAUGCCAUAUUUGGAGGCUCCCCCGAGGGGUACAAAAUUAUUUUACUGACCAAACUGGUGUCCAUGGCGUUGUCCGUGGGUCUUAGUCCUGUACUGGAUUGUGCAGCAUUGUGGAUGCAGGAACACGGUUGUCAUAGUAAGAUGUCAUGUGAUCUGUCACACAGUUUGGUGGAGGACUAUUGCGUGCUCUUUCCAGAGGUCAGUCAGACGUUUCAGAAACUCCCCAAAAUCUCGCCUCUCUUCACCUGUAACUUCAUCACGGCUGUUGCUACCAUCUAUCCAUUUGAUGGGAAUGCUUUCCAAAAGCCCCCUCCCCUGUCAUUGCUUCGCUAUAUCACAGAGUGGGUGACCUCUGACCCCUGUUUGUGUUCAGAAUCCGUCCGCCUGUCACGCAUUCAGGCCAAUUUCUCCUGCCCAUUCAUGGGGCUGGUGCAGUGGUGCAUUCUGGGACAUUUAUAUACACAGUGUCAAGUGACAAAUGAAACAGAAAAGACUGAAGUUCUUGGACUUCUAUCAAAACUCCAUUUUGGAAUUCUUCAGAGUUUGUUUGCCUAUAAAAGCAUGGAGCUGAAUCAGGCUCUUUUCUAUAUGCCUCAUUUUGUGUCCUUGUCUGAAGCGCUGAUACAAUUGCAUAAAGGGUGCAAGAGUGAGGAGACCUUGAACUUGUUGAUUGAGAAGAUCGGACAAGUCAUUCAGGUUGCUAUGGUGACAGGAAGCCUGAAAGAAGAAAAAGGUUUCCAUGGUUUAAAACAAAUCUGCAGCACAUUACCACACAACAGGUGAGUGAGAGGUGUCAUAUAGCUUAGUUAUAUCCAAUACCACACAACAGGUGAGUGAGAGGUGUCAUAUAGCUUAGUUAUAUCCAAUACCACACAACAGGUGAGUGAGAGGUGUCAUAUAGCUUAGUUAUAUCCAAUACCACACAACAGGUGAGUGAGAGGUGUCAUAUAGCUUAGUUAUAUCCAAUACCACAUCUGUAUUUACUACAGCAAAUUACACAACAGGUGAGUGAAAGGUGUCAAGGUCAAAGCAUGUGACUGAUAAUCCACAAUCAAACAUGGCUGUGGUUUCUAGAUGGUACAUGUGUAUUGCAAAUACAAUUACAACUUAGCAAUGAAUGGAUGACCCCUAAAUUUUUUUUUAGAUCAAAUGAUCAAAGUUCAAAUUCACAAGUUUGCAUGAGGUUACAAAAGUUUAAUGGAUACUGUGUUUAAACUUUGUAAGAAAUGUCUUUAUAAAAUGAAAUGAAACAAAAAUAACUGUCACAGGCACUUAAUUAAUUCACAGGAGUUGCUCAUUAGGAUGGAACAUGGUCAUGAGAGGGGCACAGUGUUUCGUGAAUGAAUCUUGCUUCCAUAGUGAAUUAAUUAUACAUGUGAUGUUAAAGGACAUAUCUCAUGUUUUCAAAGUAUACAAUAUUACAUGCAUUUUGUCUUCUUUAUGCUUAUAGUAAUUAAUUCUAAUAUUUCGUUCGCCGAAAUUUUGCGAUAAUUAACCACAAUACAGACUAAGCCCCGAUUUCAAAAAGUCAAGUUAAUUAGGUAGGUAGUCACGUGGUACUGUGACGUCACAUGCGCCCUUCAGAUUGUGAAAGUACUGCGAGAUAUUAUUAAAAACUCAACUUUUAGGGGCCUAAUUAAUUUACCAUGGGCAACAUUUAAAUCGAUGUUGAUAGAUUGUCCGAGUUUUAUAUGUGUUCGCCACCAGUGCACACAUAUAACGAUGUAAAUACCCAAAUAUAGCGAGUAAAGCGUGUAUGAAAUCGGCAAAAUUGUGAGUAAAUAAUGUUUAUAUGGGUCGCUGUCUACAAACUGUUUGGGGAUGUUAUUCCUUUAUACAUCUGUAAUUGGCGCUGUUUUUCUAAAAUAAACAGUGCAAUCAUUAUUUUCUUUUGGAUUAGACAAAUUAUGAUACGUUAAAUUGUUGACAACUAGGCCCUAUGCCAAGCUAUUGUCACGCGUGCAUUUCGGAAAGAAAGAAAAAGACAACACACACACAGAUCAAUAAAAAUAUUCAAAUUUAAAGUGGUAAUCACAUUAUUUUAUUUUGAUAAAGCAAUCUUAUUACUAUUUUUGAAUUGUGAUCUUCACGUCUUUAGGAAGUACGAAGUGGGAGCACGGCGUUAUAGCCUACUGACGCACUCAAGAUGCUACGAGUUCAAUAAAGAAAUAAUUUUAUAAUUCAAUUUAAAGUUAGGAAAUACAAUAUUCGAUUAUUUGUAUAAUUAAAAGUUCAAUUAUUUUGUAUCUUUAUUUUUUGUUGUUGUAAAUCUACCAGUUGGUAGAAGUUACAUUGUAUCGUCGAUAUAUGUUGUUACAAGGUGAAGGUCAGUUGAUCCGAGUGUGUAUUGAAUUUGAAGAGCAAAACAGAAUGUAUGCUAUAGGCCUACCAGUGCUAUAGUUUCGAUAUAUCCAUUUUCUCGCAGUUUAUCAGGGUCUCUGUCCAAGCGAUGUUUGAAAAGGUGACUGGGUGUGUUUUUUAAGGUAAAGUUCUUGCUCCAACAAAAAAAUUAUCCACGUCUUUUUAUGCCCCCCUUUGAAAAAGAGGGGACAUAUUGUUUUGCACCUGUCGGUCGGUCGGUAUGUCGGUCGGUCGGUAUGUCGGUCGGUCUGUAGACCAUGUGUUGUCCGCUCAAUAUCUUGAGAACCAUUCACUUGAUGAUAAUGAUAUUUCAUAUGUGGGUUAGUUAUGAGUAGAAGAGGAUCCCUAUUGUUUUUCAGGUCCAAAGGUCAAGGGUCAAUUUACUCUGGACAUAGGAAUAUAAUGUCCGCUCAAUAUCUUGAGAACCCUUUGUUUGAAAGACAUCAAACUUGGCACACUGGUACAUCCUAAGGAGUAGAUGACCCCUAAUGAUUUUGAGGUCAUAUGGUCAAAGGUCAAGGGUCAAACUGGGCAUAGGAAUAUACUGACCAUUCAAUGUCUAGAGAACCCUUUACUUGACAGACAUCAAACUUGGUACGCCAGUACAUCUUCAGAAGAAGAUGACCCCCAUUGAUUUUAUGGUCAAAGGUCAAGGGUCAAACUGGACAUAGGAAUAUACUGUCCGUUAAAUAUCUCGAGAACCCUUUGCUUGACAGACAU